rnacentral:rRNA from 1 species
UACUCCUACGGGAGGCAGCAGUGGGGAAUUUUGGACAAUGGGCGAAAGCCUGAUCCAGCCAUGCCGCGUGAGUGAAGAAGGCCUUCGGGUUGUAAAGCUCUUUUAGUCGGAAAGAAAAGAUCGUAAAUAAUACUUGCGAUUAAUGACGGUACCGACAGAAAAAGCACCGGCUAACUACGUGCCAGCGCCGCGGUAAUA